rnacentral:rRNA from 1 species
GUAAAACCAGCACCUUCAGUGGUCAGGAUGAUUAUUGGCUUAAGCAUCCGUAGCCGGCUUUGUUAGUUUUCGGUUAAAUCCAUGUGCUCAACGCAUGGGCUGUCGAAAAUACUGCAUAGCUAGGGAGUGGGAGAGGUAGACGGUACUCGAUAGGAAGGGGUAAAAUCCUUUGAUCUAUUGAUGACCACCUGUGGCGAAGGCGGUCUACCAGAACACGUUCGACGGUGAGGGAUGAAAGCUGGGGGAGCAAACCGGAUUAGAUACCCGGGUAGUCCCAGCUGUAAACGAUGCAGACUCGAUGAUGCAUUGGCAUAAUAGCCAAUGCAGUGUCGCAGGGAAGCCGUUAAGUCUGCCGCCUGGGAAGUACGUACGCAAGUAUGAAACUUAAAGGAAUUGGCGGGGGAGCACCACAAGGGGUGAAGCCUGCGGUUCAAUUGGAGUCAACGCCAGAAAUCUUACCCGGAGAGACAGCAGAAUGAAGGUCAAGCUGAAGACUUUACCAGACAAGCUGAGAGGUGGUGCAUGGCCGUCGCCAGCUCGUGCCGUGAGAUGUCCUGUUAAGUCAGGUAACGAGCGAGAUCCCUGCCACUAGUUGCUAUCAUUAUUCUCAGGAAUAGUGGGGCGAAUUAGUGGGACUGCCGUUGUUAAAACGGAGGAAGGAAGGGGCUACGGCAGGUCAGUAUGCCCCGAAACUCUGGGGCCACACGCGGGCUGCAAUGGUAGUGACAAUGAGUUCCAAACUCGAAAGAGAGUGGCAAUCUCUAAACGCUACCACAGUUAUGACUGAGGGCUGUAACUCGCCCUCACGAAUAUGGAAUCCCUAGUAACCGCGUGUCAUUACCGCGCGGUGAAUACGUCCCUGCUCCUUGCACACACCGCCCGUCGUUUCAUCGAAGUUUGCUUUUAGCGAGGUGAUGUUUAAUUGGCAUAAUCGAACUGA